rnacentral:rRNA from 1 species
GACGAACGCUGGCGGCGUGCUUAACACAUGCAAGUCGAGCGGUAAGGCCCUUUCGGGGGUACACGGGCGGCGAACGGGUGAGUAACACGUGGGUGACCUGCCCUCAGCUCUGGGAUAAGCCUGGGAAACUGGGUCUAAUACUGGAUAUGACUCCACGGUGCAUGUCGUGGGGUGGAAAGCCUUGUGCGGCUGAGGAUGGGCCCGCGGCCUAUCAGCUUGUUGGUGGGGUGAUGGCCUACCAAGGCGACGACGGGUAGCCGGCCUGAGAGGGCGACCGGCCACACUGGGACUGAGACACGGCCCAGACUCCUACGGGAGGCAGCAGUGGGGAAUCUUGCGCAAUGGGCGAAAGCCUGACGCAGCGACGCCGCGUGAGGGUGAC